CUUCCUUAGUCUUGGAUGCUCUGGCUGGGUUAACGCCCGUGACUCAAAUCGAAUCCAACCAGAUGAUCCCAAAACUCUGGUCUCAGGGACUGAUUAAGCAAUGGGACUAUGGUCCUUCCUAUUUGGGGUGAAGAGAGUCAGGCUGAUCUGACUUCAUGGCAUAAAAAUAACUUUUUUCAAUGAUUACGUAUUUUGUGGGUCAGAAAUUCACAAUGGAGGGAUGGGCUGUUUCUCCUCCACAUUGACUGGGCCAUGAUUGGGAAGACUUGAAAGCAGGGGUAACCAGUGGGCUGGCGCCUGCAGUUUCUGAAGGCUCAGGUACUCACCUGUUUGGGGCUGCAGCCAGGAAUCAUUUCUUAUUCAUUUUAACAUCAGUUCACAUAGUCUUGGCUUCCCUCACCCAGCAUG
rnacentral:lncRNA from 1 species